rnacentral:lncRNA from 1 species
CCGUUAUACGUUCCAGAACAGGAGUCGCUGAUGUGGGCCGAAAGGCGGCAACACUGAAAUGGAACUGGGCCGGACACGUCAGCCGUAUGCAUCCGGAAAGAUGGGCCACUAUUGUCACCCAGUGGAUACCCCAGGAUGGACACCGCAGGCGGGGUAGACCCCGGAAGAGAUGGCGUGACGAACUGGACGCCUACUGCCGAGACUGGUGGACUCGAUCGAAGGAUCGAGAAGUGUGGAAGCGGGAUGGGGAGGCCUUUGCCCAGCAGUGGGACAUUAUAGGCUAGUAAUAAUAAUAAUAAGCCCCGCAGGGCAUCUGAGGCGGAUGACGGGGAGUAGCGACCCCGCGGGGCUAUAUAUAUCCGAGUGCUCCAGGGAGAGUAUAAUGUCCCCCAUCUCCGGCUUGCCGGAGUGAAGCAUGACGGGGGAUAGGUCUCCCGCCUCUUGGCUUGCCUUCAUCGGCCGGUCAGAGUGGAGUCGCUAGAGCAAGGUUAGUCCUGCUCGGAGGGUAGGUGCCUCGUGGUAAGUGGCGAGUGGGCCGGUGAUGCUGGACCCACAGGGAGCGCGUGAUCUGCGUUUAAAGUCCGCCGAGGUAUCCUCACCCUUCUCAGCCGCUCAUGUACCUGUUGCCCUCUUGUUGCUUUUCAGUGACUGAUUCCCGGGGGCCCAGUAAGUGAGUUGGCGAGUCUCCACCUGCCAUUUUUACGUGUAUUUAUUACAUUGUUAUCGGCAGGUGCCAUAGUUCCCGUAGUUUCCCCAUUCCUAGUCCAUUAGCAUCCCAUCACAAUAGCCCAAGUAGUUUUCAUCCAUAGUUAGCAAUAGUUUAGCACAGAACCGGGGAUUGUCCUUGGGUACAUUUCUAUAGUGUAUACAGGGAUAAUCGUCGGUUUUGUGUCACCAUUUCAUUAAAGUUGUCUCAAAAGGGCUUCAGCGUGUUGGCUUCGGCCCCACGUUCGCCUCCCAAAAAUCCGGGACUCUAUAGUCCCGAGGUCUGGUAGAGACAUACAAGAAUAAUAAUAA